rnacentral:rRNA from 1 species
CCUACGGGAGGCAGCAGUGAGGAAUAUUGGUCAAUGGGAGAGAUCCUGAACCAACCAAGCCGCGUGAGGGAAGACGGCCCUAUGGGUUGUAAACCUCUUUUGUCGGAGAACAAAACCCGGGACGUGUCCCGGACUGCGUGUAUCCGAAGAAAAAGCAUCGGCUAACUCCGUGCCAGCAGCCGCGGUAAUACGGAGGAUGCGAGCGUUAUCCGGAUUUAUUGGGUUUAAAGGGUGCGUAGGCGGUCCGUUAAGUCAGCGGUAAAAUGGCGGGGCUCAACCCUGUCGAGCCGUUGAAACUGGCAGACUUGAGUUGGCGAGAAGUACGCGGAAUGCGCGGUGUAGCGGUGAAAUGCAUAGAUAUCGCGCAGAACUCCGAUUGCGAAGGCAGCGUACCGGCGCCAGACUGACGCUGAGGCACGAAAGCGUGGGGAUCGAACAGGAUUAGAUACCCGGGUAGUC